rnacentral:rRNA from 1 species
CCUACGGGUGGCAGCAGUAGGGAAUCUUCCACAAUGGGCGAAAGCCUGAUGGAGCAACGCCGCGUGGGUGAAGAAGGUCUUCGGAUUGUAAAACCCUGUUGUUAGAGAAGAAAGAGCGGGAGAGUAACUGUUCACGUUUCGACGGUAUCUAACCAGAAAGCCACGGCUAACUACGUGCCAGCAGCCUCGGUAAUACGUAGGUGGCAAGCGUUAUCCGGAUUUAUUUGGCGUAAAGGGAACGCAGGCGGUCUUUUAAGUCUGAUGGGAAAGCCUUCGGCUUAACCGGAGUAGUGCAUUGGAAACUGGGUGACUUGAGAGCAGGAGAGGAGAGUGGAACUCGAGGUGUAGCGGUGAAAUGCGUAGAUAUAUGGCAGAACACCGGUGGCGAAGGCGGCUUACUGGUCUGUAACUGACGCUGAGGUUCGAAAGCGUGGGUAGCAAACAGGAUUAGAUACCCUUGUAGUC